GCAGUAGCCGCGGGAAUACGGAGGGUGCAAGCGUUAAUCGGAAUUACUGGGCGUAAAGCGCACGCAGGCGGUCUGACAAGUCAGAUGUGAAAUCCCCGGGCUUAACCUGGGAACUGCAUUUGAAACUGUCAGGCUGGAGUCUUGUAGAGGGGGGUGGAAUUCCAGGUGUAGCGGUGAAAUGCGUAGAGAUCUGGAGGAAUACCGGUGGCGAAGGCGGCCCCCUGGACAAAGACUGACGCUCAGGUGCGAAAGCGUGGGGAGCAAACAGGAUUAGAUACCCCUGUAGUCCCUGUCUCUUAUAA
rnacentral:rRNA from 1 species